rnacentral:lncRNA from 1 species
UUGUUUUAUUGUUUUGUUAGAAUUUUAUUAUAGGAAAAAUACUUUAUGUUACUUAGUGAAUAAUUAUUUUUACCUUGUGUUAAGUAUUUUUGUUUUAGGCUUUUUAUUUGUUGUUAAGUAGAGUUGUUGUGGUGUAGAUUAGCCCUAUAAGUUUAUUUGAGUGAUUUGGAGUUUUAUUUGGUUUUUACCUUCGAUCCUAUUUCGAUUUCGUUGUUAUUUUGAUUGUUAUGAUUGAGUGCUAGAAUGAUUGCUUAUGUGAAUACUAUGCUUGCUUGUAUAGAUUUCAUCGGAGAGUGACGACUAGUUUAUCAAGUUUUUGAGAGCAAUAAUAUCUUCACCAACUCACCAGGCAAGUUCACUUUGACCAUGUUUUUCAUGCCUAUGUUUUUAUUGCAUUUAGUGUCACCAUCCAUAAUCCCUCCAGUAGUUAUAUUGACUUCUUGUAGUUGAGUAGAAUGCAUGAGGUAGGAACCCAUCUUCCUGUUAUCAUGCCCGGGACGUAUAUAGUUUUAAUGCUACGCUAUUGCAGACGGGGUUUGGUAUGAGUGCUCGGGAGUGGUGUGAAGGACUCUACGUCAAUGACGACAACUCCAUGAUGGCAUAUGCAAGGACUGCAUCUUCAAGGCCUCAAGACUUCAAGACUCGAGACAAGAAUUCAAUACACACUACUGGGUGAAGGACGGUUGACGGGCACCCUGGAGAAACCAGUCGAUGGCCGGGAUGCAUGGAGAAGCGCCAUGACAUCUUGCGGAAAGCUUCACCCAGACUCAAAGAGACGGAAGAAUACUUCAUGCCUGGAAGCUUACCUGUGCACCGGCAAGUCACUAUGGGCUCUGGCUUGGUUGACCUUAGUUGUGACUCUGGCUGGGACGGUGCUAGCAGAUGUAGAACUACGGUAGGAUUGGAUGAGCACCGGACAGUGGUCAGAGGAACUCUUUGGAAGACCAUGUUUUGGUCAUCUUGUUCUCAAACACCCUGAAGUGCGAGAACGUAAAAAGAGGGAUCGAAUCUUGUGGGUAAAGUGUACAAACCUCUACAGAGGGUUAAAACCUAAUCGAUUAGCCGUGUCCCCGGUUAUGGACAAUUUGAGCCUCUGGACUUGGAUCUAUCUCGGAACUCUCAACACCGGACUGAUAACAUAAUUGUGGGCAACUUAUGAUGAUUUUGGACUAUGAGACAUCGGUUGGCGGAACCAUGUCACGAUAGAAAACUCUGUAGUACGGACUCCUGAUAUUCCAUUGAUGUAGGAAAAAUAAAACCAGCUUUUAUGCAAAACAAAACUCAGACACAGAGCCACAAAGCCAUAUUGCAUAUAGUAUAGUUUUAUCAUCUGUUUUCUCAUGUUGUGAUCUUGCCUGUACAUUCAAUGUACUGACCUACACGGCUGCAACGUAUCAUGUUGCAGAUACUUUCUUCCAACGAGUAAGAGUACGGUACAGGGUUACGGUCUACACUCAACCUGCCGAUGGCGUUGAUGGGACUCCACACCCGACUAUUUGUUUCCGCUGUGACUUAUGAGGUAUAUAUCAAUUUUACGUUAUUUAUACAUGUGAUUGCACUUUGAUAUAUACAUUGAUGUACUGUGUGUGCCAGCAUACUGAUCUAGGGAUGGCACAGAAACACAGAGGCUUGACCGUCUGAGGUCGGGUCGCUACAGAUAUGCUAUCAGAGCACAUGUUGACUGUAGGACGUGACCCUAGAAAUCGAAAAGCCCUAGGACAGGAAAUCUCUAAGACUUUAUUUUUAAAAGGACCCAUUUCUUCUCAUCUUUUCUAAUUUUUAUCAAAUAUCACCUGUUACCUCAAAUAGUUAGAAUAUACCCCUUUCCCUUUUGACCACCCGGAGGAUCAACUGAAGCCGCUUCAAGAAGGCUAGGAACACCGGACAAAUGAUGACCAGUUCAGAGUAAAGAGGAUUACACUAUAUAUUUCGGAGGAAAGAAGCUACAGCAGAUGAAGACUCUAAAGGCUUGAAGAAUUCAGAGACUCUGAAGAUUUAUUUGACCGUUAGAGGACCAAACCCCUGUUAUACACUUACGUUAGAUGCGACGAUUUGUGAGCUAUCAUUUGUUUGAUGUUUUCCGACAGCCACAAAGUAAAACCCGUUUCUUCAAAACUAUUGUUUGUAUUGUGUGUAUCCCUGCCCACCUCUCUCAUAUCUCAUCCCGAAACUUUUGGACCCCAUAGAUGAUGAAUGAAGUUGGACUGAUAUUCUCUGGACCAAAGACUCAGCCGGAGGCAGAGCUAUGGAUUCGGAACAUGGAGAAUCACUUCGGGAGCAAUUUGGUUUCAAGGAAGAAUGAAGUAUCGUACGCUCUUCAGUACUUAGAAGGAAGUGCUGCAACAUGGUGGCAGAUGCAUCAAGCCGUACGGGGAUGGGAUGGAGCAAAUACUUGGUAAGAAUUCAAGAAGACUCUAACAAGAUCUCGUCUUAUCCGGAAGCACCAUGAUACACCAAGAAAUAAACCUUGUGCCUGCAAGAUUUGCGGAGAAAUAGGACACACCCAGGAGGAACACAAGGAUGGAUGCCCUCAUUGUGAGGAGAAACACCCAACUGAGGAAUGCCCAACUAGUCAGGUGACUUGUUUCUUGUGUGAAGGAACCACCCACUACCCGACUCAGUGUCACAUUUACCCCAUGGUGCAACAAACUAUUCAGGAGCAGGAAGAAGGAAUGAAAGAAGCCCUCCGAGAAGUUAUGAAAUAAUCUGUGAUGAAGGAAUGUGUUGAAGACCCUGAUGGAGAAGGCCUCAACAGAUUUUACUCCAAUGCCUGCUAUUCAUGUGGAGAAGGACAUUUUUCACAGUAUUGCACCAAGGAAAGAAAAGAGUAUCUGGGAUACUUCCUGACGGAAGCAAUAGAGUUUGAUCCAUAGGGAAUAGAAGGUUUGAUUGGAAUGAAGAAACCCAGGAAGAGAAAAUAAAGACACCCUCAGAACAACCCAAUUUCUGCAAAGAGGGACAAGAGUCAUAUUACCUGUUUUGAAUGUAAGGACGUCGGGCAUUAUGCCAAUCAUUUCCUCGAAAGGAAGCAAGGAACUCAAGGAGCAGGCACCAUCACCAAGAAGCCCCGGGACAUGUCGGAAGUUAUUUGUUUUCAUUGCAAGGAAGCAGGACAUUUUGCUAGGGAAUGUUCAGAUCAGGAGAAAACUGGAGCUGAGUAGUGGAGAUGUUGAUAUCAAUAAUAAGUGUAGUAUGGAAAACGCUUUUAUUUUCAUGAGAAUGCAGAGUUGAGUUAUGUAAUAGAUUACUCAAAGAUUGUAAUAAUUCAUGACUCAAUAAAGUUGAUAUGUCAUAUGCUGAAAGGCUUUAAGGAGUUGUUAUGUUUUAUCUUGGAAAUUUAUAUUCUGGGUGAACAUGAAAGAAAAUGAGUUGUGAUGCAUAAACUGGAUGUUGGAAAUUGAGUUUGAAGUUUUGUUUGGAUGAUAUGAAUGUUUACCCAAGGAGAUACGUACCUUAUUCUGAGUACCAUUUUUGUUUUACAACCGCAGAUGACGACCCUUCAUGAGCCAUUCCUCAAGGGCCCGGAAACAAUCAUGACCCUGACAAGUGAUCAUGGUUACCCGAAAAUCCUGAAGGACAUGAUGAAGCAUAUUCAGCUUGAAGGAGAUGCAGUCUACAAAGGAUACCCCUUCAUCCAAGAGGGAGUGGAACUUUGGUAUGUGAAGGUGCACCUCCACCGUAUGAAAGGAGUUUGCCCAAAGAUGAUGGGGCAGUACUUUUUCAUCUCAUGUGUGCCACAAGCAACUUUCUUCGACGCUGUUCAUGAAGCAGCCAUGGAAGCCAUACGCCAGAUCGGAGAAAUACUUGAAGCAAGACUCCGUUAUUCUCAGGAAUACCUAAGAGAAGUGCAUGUAGAGAUGAUGGAGAUGAAGCUCAUGUCCACCAUGAUGAAGCAAAAGAUGGAAGAUUUCAAGGAGCAUGUCGUAAAAUUCCACUGGUACAGAAGAAUCCGCAAGGAGGAAAAAUGAAUAAAGUUGGAAGUAAUGCUUGACCAUACCAAACCAUGUGGAUGGCAGCAUUUGUAAUAAAGUACUUUUUGGCAUUUGGAUUCAUGAAAAAUGGUUAAGGAUGUAAUAAAAUAUUUGAUAUGAAAAUAAUAUAAUUCAUGGAUGAACUAGUGCAUUUCAUUUUAAGUGUGGUAGUACUCUGUAAAGCCACAUGAUCAAUGAAAAAAAAAGGUGUUGUUCAUGACGGUCCAUAGAAAGGAGUCGGACGAAAUAAGUUGGAGUUUGAUUAUGAUGGUUACCCCAAGAGUAUGACAAAAUGAAGUACUAUUGGAUUUAAAGAAGGUUUAAUGUUGGAAUAUGGAACAACUAUAACUCCACGGAUGAGUUAACACUAUGCAAGUGCUGAAGUGGACCCAUAACCCAGAGGCCCAGGAUUUGACCAAGGCACAAGCACAAUCUUGUUGAAGGAAGAAUUCUGGAAGAAGUUGUGAUUUGAUCAGCAGACGUUACAUAGGAUGUUACGUAAACCCCGAGAUUGUGAAGAACGAUAGGUGUUUUGUUCAGCUUGCAGAAACAAUGGAUUUAGCCAAACCCAGCUCGAGGACGAGAGAAUUUCUGCAAAGCAUGUGAGGAUGCCCGAGUGUUAGAAAUACGAGAUUCACUAAACCUUAUACAGGGUAAUGAUCUGGGUGCGGAAUGGAUUGAUCACCAUACCGACUUACUCUUAUCAUUCGCUCCUGAUAUUUGGAAUGGUAAAUCUAAGAGACUUACCCAUAGUAAAGUGACGACGCUUGUUGAAGCCUUGCUUAAGCCAUAGAAUGGUAUGAUGAUAAACCCAUGUACAUGGCAGCUGUUGCCAAUCAUAGAUUAUACGGUGAGAAUGAAGCCAAGGCCCUUUUCUGCAGAAACCUGUAAUGGUUGACCACCAUGAGAUCUCGAUAGUUGUUUAGUAUUGGCGCAGACCUAUCAGCUAAGAUCCAGUCUCGGACGAACUUCAUCUUUGACGAAGCGACCCAAGAUUUUGAGGAAAACGCUAUGCUUCUGACAGAAGAGCGUUAACGAAGGAGCUAUUGUAAGAUAUGUGAAGAGACAGAUAUUGUCAGCACUCCAAAGGAAGUAUCUAAGUUUAUUGGAACUGUAACCUUGCUUUUAAGUGUGGUAGAACCCCUGACCUUUCCGACCAAAAAGAUUUGCUAGAAGACCCCCAACCCCUAACCUUUUCUUGCUAGCCUCUUCGAAUCUCGAGGAUGAGAUUCAUUUUAAGUGUGGUAGUUUGUAACAUCCCAAAAUUCUAAUUUUUGGAAUGUUAUAAUAAUUAAAAUAUAUGAUUCUUGAGUGAUGGAUUGAGUGAAAUUGAUUGGAAUUUUAAACUUUUGAAGUUUUGUUGAGAGGGAAUAAAAGGACUUUCCAAAAAAAAUGUUUCUGUUUGAAAAUAUUUGAAUUUGGAAAUAUUUCAAACUUCAUGCCACUCAAUGAUCCUCAUGAUUUCUUCAAUGAAAGAGAGUGGGAAGUAAAGAAAAAUUUCAUUUUGAAUUUGUGAUUUAAAUUUUUUUUUAACUCAAAGUGGCAUUUGAGUUUUAUUCAAAAACUUUUCUGACAAAGAACACUUGAACAAAAGUGUUGAUAGGGAGUAACAUGACACCCCAAAAAUGUUGGAAUAAAUUUUCCAUAGAGUUUUGAAAGUCAUUUUGAUAUUUUUUUGAAUUAAAAAAAUGAUUUUUCAAAAAGUAUUUUAUUUGCCCCUGGAAAAUAUCCCAUUAAAUUGGGCUUAUUUUCUGAUCAUUUUGAUAUAUAAUACUCCUAUAUUUUAUUUUCAUUUUAUUUUCUAAAAUGAUUGUUUCUUCGCGGGUUAUUCAAAAAAAGGAAGGUAUUGUUUUUUUGGGCCAAAUCCGGCCCGAUCCGUACCGAAUCAUCUCUUUCCUCCUCCUGACGAGAUGCUCCAGAUCUCCAGCCACCGCCGGAGCAUCGCCGGAAUCGCGGGAUUCGCGAAAUCCCUUGCCCCCUCCUCCAAGCUGACCUCCCCCCUAUAAAUGGCCACCUCCCGCACCCAUUCCCCCCCCCNNNNNNNNNNNNNNNNNNNNNNNNNNNNNNNNNNNNNNNNNNNNNNNNNNNNNNNNNNNNNNNNNNNNNNNNNNNNNNNNNNNNNNNNNNNNNNNNNNNNNNNNNNNNNNNNNNNNNNNNNNNNNNNNNNNNNNNNNNNNNNNNNNNNNNNNNNNNNNNNNNNNNNNNNNNNNNNNNNNNNNNNNNNNNNNNNNNNNNNNNNNNNNNNNNNNNNNNNNNNNNNNNNNNNNNNNNNNNNNNNNNNNNNNNNNNNNNNNNNNNNNNNNNNNNNNNNNNNNNNNNNNNNNNNNNNNNNNNNNNNNNNNNCGUUGCCGCGCCGCCCCGCCGGAGUUCGCCGGAGCCGCCGCCGCCGUUUGCUCCGCCCCACCCACCGCCGGCCCUCCCCGCCACCAACCGCCGCCACCAGCCGCUCCGCCCCGCUCCGCCGCCCCCGCCCGUCCCCUGGCCUCGCCCGGAGGACCACCGGAGCCACUCCGCCCGAGCCCCUCGCCGGAACAGCUACAGUAAUCCCGAUCUGCCUUUUUUUCGUUCUCUUUUUAAAACAGAAUUGUUUCAAUCUUGUAAAAUCCGCAGUUAAUUAUCUACGAGGUAUUUUUGAGUGAUUCCAACUGCCUUGGAUCACAAAUUUUAUGAAGUUUCUGUUAGUUCAAUUUUAUUUCAUAUUUAAGCAGUUUAAAUUUGUGUUUGUAUGAAUUUUCUCAAAUCACUAGAUUUGAGCUAUUUUGAGUUAGGAAUAUUAUUUUUGACCGAUUCUUUUUGCUACUGGUUACUUAUUAGACUAGCUACGUAUUAGUGUUUAGUUUUCAUGUUAGUGAGUUCGUUAGAUUAGCUUUUUAUUGUAAACAGUACUGCUUACUUUGUUUUUAGUAUUGUUUGUAGUUUAAUUAUUAUUAAUUAGUUUUAAUUAGUUUCUUGUGCUAGUUUUCGCCCGUGUGUCAUAUAUUCUAUUGUUUAACAGUAGGUAAUUUCUAGGAUUUAUUAGACUUGGUAUUCUUGAGGUUCUAGGUGUUGUUUGUUGUAUGACUAGUUGCUAGCAAUAGAAAUAGUGUUGUUUUAUUGUUUUGUUAGAAUUUUAUUAUAGGAAAAAUACUUUAUGUUACUUAGUGAAUAAUUAUUUUUACCUUGUGUUAAGUAUUUUUGUUUUAGGCUUUUUAUUUGUUGUUAAGUAGAGUUGUUGUGGUGUAGAUUAGCCCUAUAAGUUUAUUUGAGUGAUUUGGAGUUUUAUUUGGUUUUUACCUUCGAUCCUAUUUCGAUUUUGUUGUUAUUUUGAUUGUUAUGAUUGAGUGCUAGAAUGAUUGCUUAAGUGAAUACUAUGCUUGCUUGUAUAGAUUUCGUCAGAGAGUGACGACUAGUUUAUCAAGUUUUUGAGAGCAAUAAUAUCUUCACCAACUCACCAGGCAAGUUCACUUUGACCAUGUUUUUCAUGCCUAUGUUUUUAUUGCAUUUAGUGUCACCAUCCAUAAUCCCUCCAGUAGUUAUAUUGACUUCUUGUAGUUGAGUAGAAUGCAUGAGGUAGGAACCCAUCUUCCUGUUAUCA